UACAGAGGUCUCAAGCGUUGCUCGGAAUCACUGGGCGUAAAGGGUGCGUAGGCGGGUCUUUAAGUCAGGGGUGAAAUCCUGGAGCUCAACUCCAGAACUGCCUUUGAUACUGAGGAUCUUGAGUUCGGGAGAGGUGAGUGGAACUGCGAGUGUAGAGGUGAAAUUCGUAGAUAUUCGCAAGAACACCAGUGGCGAAGGCGGCUCACUGGCCCGAUACUGACGCUGAGGCACGAAAGCGUGGGGAGCAAACAGG
rnacentral:rRNA from 1 species